rnacentral:ribozyme from 11 species
AGAAUUAAAUACAGGAACAUUUGGGCCUAAUCCAGCAUCCGAAACGGAAAUCUCUUUCACAAAUUUGGGAAUUUUUUCUCUCAAUUUUGAUAUUUUUUUGGUAAUCUUCUGUUUGAUUGCGUUGUUCAACGUAUCUGAGUUUGCAUAAUUGAAAAAA